rnacentral:rRNA from 1 species
AUACGUAGGGGGCGAGCGUUGUCCGGAAUGAUUGGGCGUAAAGGGCGCGUAGGCGGCCCGGUAAGUCUGGAGUGAAAGUCCUGCUUUCAAGGUGGGAAUUGCUUUGGAUACUGCCGCGCUUGAGUGCAGGAGAGGUUAUCGGAAUUCCCGGUGUAGCGGUGAAAUGCGUAGAGAUCGGGAGGAACACCAGUGGCGAAGGCGACUUACUGGACUGUAACUGACGCUGAGGCGCGAAAGUGUGGGGAGCAAACAGGAUUAGAUACCCUGGUAGUCCACACUGUAAACGAUGAAUGCUAGGUGUAGGGGGUAUCGACCCCUUCUGUGCCGCAGUCAACACAAUAAGCAUUCCGCCUGGGGAGUACGGCCGCAAGGUUGAAACUCAAAUGAAUUGGCGGGG